CAGCUGAUUCCAUCGACGUAUCCACACAGAAAGUUGCAAGAAAUAAAUUUAGCUUUAGCAGAGGAGAAAAUGGAUCCGCUGCUAUUUUUGUACCAUUUCAAGUUACAGUUGUGUUGAUUGCUUCGUUGUUCAUAUUUGUUUUUUGAAAUACUUAUUUAUUAAGCAUCUGUGUAUCUAUUUUUUUCCAUAAUAUUAUUUAUUCGCAUACAUUUUGUAUCAUUAUUUUAUACUAUGCAUCUCUUUUUUUUAACGUUUCAUACUUGUAAUGUUGAACAAGCUUAAAAUGAAACAAAAAAGCUUUGUUAUUUAUUCCUAGUUCUUAUGUUUCGUUUUCUAGCAACAAGUAGGUAUGUAUUUAUUAAUGGUUAGAGGUUAACAUUUUUUAAAAUUACUAAAGUGGCCCUCAUCAUGUAUGUAGACACUUCAUGUGUUUGACGCGAUUCAAUAUUAAAACGGCUUUCUUUCAUGCCUUAAAUGUUUCUAUAACUAUUGUUUAAAAAUAUUACUUAGGCUAAAUUAUAUACAUCUAAAUGCUAUUAUUGCUUAGUUCUUGUAUUGGAGCAUAUGUCUUACAUUUUUGUUCAAUAAACAUAAUUAAUACAGCAA